AAGCCUUUCGGGGUGGAUUAGUGGCGAACGGGUGAGUAACACGUGGGCAAUCUGCCCUUCACUCUGGGACAAGCCCUGGAAACGGGGUCUAAUACCGGAUAACACUCUGUUCCGCAUGGGACGGGGUUGAAAGCUCCGGCGGUGAAGGAUGAGCCCGCGGCCUAUCAGCUUGUUGGUGGGGUAAUGGCCUACCAAGGCGACGACGGGUAGCCGGCCUGAGAGGGCGACCGGCCACACUGGGACUGAGACACGGCCCAGACUCCUACGGGAGGCAGCAGUGGGGAAUAUUGCACAAUGGGCGAAAGCCUGAUGCAGCGACGCCGCGUGAGGGAUGACGGCCUUCGGGUUGUAAACCUCUUUCAGCAGGGAAGAAGCGCAAGUGACGGUACCUGCAGAAGAAGCGCCGGCUAACUACGUGCCAGCAGCCGCGGUAAUACGUAGGGCGCAAGCGUUGUCCGGAAUUAUUGGGCGUAAAGAGCUCGUAGGCGGCUUGUCACGUCGGAUGUGAAAGCCCGGGGCUUAACCCCGGGUCUGCAUUCGAUACGGGCUAGCUAGAGUGUGGUAGGGGAGAUCGGAAUUCCUGGUGUAGCGGUGAAAUGCGCAGAUAUCAGGAGGAACACCGGUGGCGAAGGCGGAUCUCUGGGCCAUUACUGACGCUGAGGAGCGAAAGCGUGGGGAGCGAACAGGAUUAGAUACCCUGGUAGUCCACGCCGUAAACGUUGGGAACUAGGUGUUGGCGACAUUCCACGUCGUCGGUGCCGCAGCUAACGC
rnacentral:rRNA from 1 species